UCCGAAUUGGUCCAGCGGUCAGGAUCUCCCGCUCUCACCGGGGAGGCCCGGGUUCGACUCCCGGAUUCGGAA
rfam:Drechslerella stenobrocha 248 unplaced genomic scaffold DRE_Scf_17, whole genome shotgun sequence.